rnacentral:rRNA from 1 species
AGGAGGUUUGGAUCCUGGCUCAGAUUGAACGCUGGCGGCAUGCCUAACACAUGCAAGUCGAACGGAAACGAUGGGAGCUUGCUCCCAGGCGUCGAGUGGCGGACGGGUGAGUAAUACUUAGGAAUCUACCCAGUAGCGGGGGACAACUCGAGGAAACUCGAGCUAAUACCGCAUACGCCCUACGGGGGAAAGCAGGGGAUCUUCGGACCUUGCACUAUUGGAUGAGCCUAAGUCGGAUUAGCUUGUUGGUGAGGUAAAGGCUCACCAAGGCGACGAUCCGUAGCUGGUCUGAGAGGACGAUCAGCCACGCUGGGACUGAGACACGGCCCAGACUCCUACGGGAGGCAGCAGUGGGGAAUAUUGGACAAUGGGGGCAACCCUGAUCCAGCAAUGCCGCGUGUGUGAAGAAGGCCUGCGGGUUGUAAAGCACUUUCAGUAGAGAAGAAAAGCCUACGGUUAAUACCCGUAAGUCUUGACGUUACCUACAGAAGAAGCUCCGGCUAACUCCGUGCCAGCAGCCGCGGUAAUACGGAGGGAGCGAGCGUUAAUCGGAAUUACUGGGCGUAAAGCGCGCGUAGGCGGCUUUGUAAGUCGGAUGUGAAAGCCCUGGGCUCAACCUGGGAAUGGCAUUCGAUACUGCAGAGCUAGAGUAUGGUAGAGGGAAGUGGAAUUUCCGGUGUAGCGGUGAAAUGCGUAGAU